ensembl:processed_transcript 2210408F21Rik RIKEN cDNA 2210408F21 gene
GUGUCAUGCAAGAAGGAGGCGGCGGCGGCGGCCGGAGCUGGAGGGGGAGGAGGGGAGGAACCUGAUCCUCGGUAGCGAAGGGCUGGAGGCAAACACCGAGCUCCCCCUGAGCCGCCUGGGAGCAGGGAGGGUUCUGCUACCCUGAGGGGCCCUCCCCGCGGGGCAGAGGGGUUUCCUCAGCAGUGCCCCGGAGCAGGGACCGCGCCAGCCAGCAGAAACAGCUAGUUGUUGUCUGCAGUGAAGAAUAAUUGGAAGCAUGGUGCCUGUUUCUUUUCCUGUGGGAGGAAGUCACAGCAUCUACUUCUGAAUCUGUGCUUGCCUUGAGGAAAAACGGCAUGGCACAGGAAUGUGGACGCUUUCAACCAGAGGAUUCUGUACGACGGUGUCGGCACACAAGGAGUGUUCCACUGACUGACCUCUUUUUGUUUUCAAAUGAAGAGGAGCCAAGAAUAGGACAGCUUGGGAAGGUGAGCUGCGUAUAGCUCGUCAGGCUGAGCUCAUCCUCGUCUACGGCCAAACGUUGGUUUCUCAUUUCUAGAAGAUGAAAGAUGUGAUGACUCAGGAAAAACUGGAAUCUUAGUAACUGUGGUGGGCAUUGAGCCUUGCCGUCCACAAGAGAAAGCUUGCUGCUCGAGAUGUGAGUCUUCAGAUGUUCCUGCCGCCAUAUCUGACAGCUGCUGCCAAGAUUCCCUGGUGGGAUGGACUCUUAUACCUCAACAACCAGAAGCCCAAGUAAACUCUUCUAUAAAUUGAAUGACUCAUGCUU